UCCGAAUUAGUGUAGGGGUUAACAUAAUUCGCUUUCACCGAAUAGCCCCGGGUUCGAUUCCCGGAUUCGGAA